CUGAAGAAAAUAAAAGCCAGGGAGUUAAACUAACAAAAGUAAGAAGAAGAAGAAUAAGAAGAUAUCUGUAAUAAUAUUUAUCUUUUAUCGGUUUCACUUUAAAGUGCAAGAAGAUUUGGAUUUGAAGAACGAAAAUAGAUGAGAGAUUUGAAAUUGCAAAGGUUACAGAAACAAAGGAAAUAUAAGAUUGAAAAAGUAUAAAGAUUGGCAAAAGUAUUUCCAGAUAAAAUAAAAGUGAUCGAACAGCCGAGACAAAUGAUAAGUGGACACGCGAUAAAUGGGUGCGAGGAUACCACGGUAAAAUUCACCAAAAUUGGACGAGUGAAAUAUAAAUAUUGAAAUAAAUAUUUCAAGCAGUAAAUCAUCUAUAGAAACAAAUAUCCGAGGUAAGAGGAAGAAGAAAUGGAAUUUAUAAAAGCAUUUGGUAGCACUCGCUCGUGUGAUUGCAUCACUCCCACGAGUCUAGUGCGCUAGAGGAAGCACCACGUCAUCUUGUAGAGUGUUAUCGCAACCUGCUGCUUUCCGUGAGCAAACUUUCUUCUCACCGACUAAAAUUUCUUCUUUUAGCAGGUAGUACUAUUACUUCUUAGGAUUUCUCGAUAGUGGCGUCAGUCGAUACCAAACAAGGGAUGCCGAGGCUUGGCUCUAUUAAUUCUAUCUUUCCUGGCUGGGGUGCUGUAGAAUGCUCUGCAAAUAUUAUAAUUAACCACCCGACACUCGAGCCGUGUACAAUCACUUAAUCUUGUAAUUAAAUUAACAGUCUUCACUUCCGCUUUUCUCAUCGAUUAAUUUAUGCAGAUAAAGUCAAAAAAUUUGUCUUAAUAAUUACAAGUAGUUUUUUAAUUAAUCAGCGAUGAAGAAAUAAAAUUACCUAUGCUCUUAAUU
rnacentral:lncRNA from 1 species